UACGUAGGGGGCAAGCGUUGUCCGGAAUCAUUGGGCGUAAAGCGCGUGUAGGCGGCUCGGUAAGUCUGCUGUGAAAGUCCAGGGCUCAACCCUGGGAUGCCGGUGGAUACUGUCGAGCUCGAGUCCGGAAGAGGCGAGUGGAAUUCCUGGUGUAGCGGUGAAAUGCGCAGAUAUCAGGAGGAACACCAAUGGCGAAGGCAGCUCGCUGGGACGUGACUGACGCUGAGACGCGAAAGCUAGGGGAGCAAACAGG
rnacentral:rRNA from 1 species